AAAANANNUCAAAGGAAUGUACCGGGGGCCCGCNACAANNGNCGGAGCGUGUGGCUCANUUCCGAUGCAACGCCUAAAGAACCUUACUNGGGCUUGACAAUCUACNGUAAANCGGGUGNAAGGCACCGNNGUGUCUUCCGGCGCCGNAACAAAAGGUGGNGCCAUGGCCNGUCGUCAGACUCGUGUCGUGAGAUGNUGGGUUAAGUCCCGCAACGAGNCGCAACGCCNUGUCCUAUGUUGCCAGCGGGUAAUGACCGGGGACUCAUGGGAGNCCGCCGGUGCCAAAACCGGAGGAAGGUGGGGAUGAAGUCAAGUCAGCAUGCCCCUUACGUCCAGGGCUGCACACGCGCUACAAUGGCCGGUACAAAGGGUUGCAAACUCGNCGAGGGUGAGCUAAUCCCAAAAAACCGGUCUCAGUUCGGAUUGCAGUCUGCAACUCGACUGCAUGAAGUCGGAGUCGCUAGUAAUCGCAGAUCAGCACGCUGCGGUGAAUACGUUCCCGGGCCUUGUACACACCGCCCGUCACACCACGAAAGUCGGCAACACCCGAAGCCGGUGGCCCAACCCUUUUGGGAGGGAGCCGUCGAAGGUGGGGUUGGCGAUUGGGGUGAAGUCGUAANAAGGUAUC
rnacentral:rRNA from 1 species